UACGUAGGGGGCUAGCGUUGUCCGGAAUCAUUGGGCGUAAAGCGCGUGUAGGCGGCCCGGUAAGUCCGCUGUGAAAGUCGGGGGCUCAACCCUCGGAUGCCGGUGGAUACUGUCGGGCUUGAGUACGGAAGAGGCGAGUGGAAUUCCUGGUGUAGCGGUGAAAUGCGCAGAUAUCAGGAGGAACACCGAUUGCGAAGGCAGCUCGCUGGGACGUGACUGACGCUGAGACGCGAAAGCGUGGGGAGCAAACAGG
rnacentral:rRNA from 1 species